rnacentral:lncRNA from 1 species
UGUCUGCGCCCCGCCACCACGAAUCAAUAUUGUCCCUGUGUUGGUUCUGCCCCAGGCUGCAGCAAAGAAGGUGGGGCAGGAGGGAGUUAGGGACUGGAGUUCCAAGAGAUUUCAUGGGAACCAUGCUGGUGGGGGUGGGACCCAGCGAUCCCAGGAGCAGCCAGCGCGGAAAGCUGGCUGUGGGCAAUUCUCCAUUCCGUGGAAGACCACAGUGCCCCCUCAAGGUGUACCUGGCUGCUGCCCCAGAGUCGCUGCCAGGUACAGGGGCUCGGGCUCCAAGAUGAGCAGCUAAGAAGGAGAGGCCUGCUCCAUGGGCAAGAAAGGGUUUUCUCCUCUUACUCCUGAGAGUAACCCAGGCCAACCCAUGGGGAGGCAGAUGGAUGCCUGUCCCGGCACAGGCAUCCUCAGAGUCUCUCUGUCCCCAGGUUCUCCACUGCAGCCUGCUCCACAGCCACGCCCUCCCAUCCAUGGCUACACACUCACAUUCUGGGCCUCUUCCCUGGACCAGAUUGCACAGCAGGGCCGCUCUCUCCAGUGCCUCCAGCUGGCCCCUGCUGACAAGUCCGUGUUGUGUCAUGUUGGGAGUCUGGGCAAGGCACGAGGGCCCCUCUCUAGCAGGUCCCGAUGGCUCCUCCACACCUUCAGGAAAAGCAAGAGAUAAACCAUUGCAUGCUGAGCUCUGCAGGGAACUGGAGGCGGACACCAUCCAUUCUGCAAACCUGCAAUGGUGACACUUCUGGAAUCUCCUUGCCUCUUCCAGGGCUGCAGCCUCUAAGGCAGGGCCCAAAGCAGGAUGGAGAUAAAGAUGCCCAGAAGAAACCAAAGCCUUCUUGGGGGAAACUGUAAGAAGUCAGGAGGGAAUUCUUUAUUAGAAAUUGAAGAUCCCGCUGGGCGUGGUGGCUCAUGCCUGUAAUCCCAGCACUUUGGGAGGCCGAGGUGGACAGAUCACCUGAGGUAGAAGUUCGAGACCAGCCUGGCCAACAUAGCAAAACCCCAUCUCUACUAAAAAUACAAAAAUUAGCCGGGCGUGAUGGCACGCACCUGUAAUCCCAGCUACUCAGGAAGCUAAGGCAGGAGAAUCACUUGAACUUGGGAGGUGGAGGUUGUAGUGAGCCAAGAUGGCGCCAUUGCACUCCAGCCUAGGCAACAAGAGCGAGACUCCAUCUCAAAAAAAAAAAA